rnacentral:misc_RNA from 1 species
AAAAUAAAAUUCGGAGACUAAAUAGUGUAUUUUUUAAAAUACAAGCACCAAGUAGUUAGUUUUGCUAAACUAUAAGGACUAAAUAGCAAUUUUUUCAUUUUAAAUUGAUCUAUGAUGAACUUAAUAUUUCGUUGACCUUUAGUCUUAAUGUGAAAGUACAAUAAUCUCAAUGUGAACAAAUGGUUGUUAUGAGUUUUUUUAUCAACUUGCCUCCAUAAUUUGAGACUGCUAAAACUCAUUCUUUCUAUUUUG